rnacentral:rRNA from 1 species
UACGUAGGGACCAAGCGUUGUUCGGAUUUACUGGGCGUAAAGCGCGCGUAGGCGGCUUUGUAAGUUAGAGGUGAAAGCCCGGAGCUCAACUCCGGAAUUGCCUUUAAGACUGCAUCGCUAGAAUCAUGGAGAGGUGAGUGGAAUUCCGAGUGUAGAGGUGAAAUUCGUAGAUAUUCGGAAGAACACCAGUGGCGAAGGCGACUCCCUGGACAUGUAUUGACGCUGAGGUGCGAAAGCGUGGGGAGCAAACAGG